rnacentral:pre_miRNA from 1 species
UAUGUACUCCCUCCGUCCCAAAAUUAUUGUCUUAAAUUUGUCUAGAUAUGAAUGUAUCUAGUCAAGUUUUACUAUUUAGAUACAUUCAUUUUUAGACAAACCUAAGACAAGAAUUUUGGGACGGAGGGAGUAUAAU